ACUGAAAUCUAGAAGAUGGUGAGGCUCCUGCACAUGGUCAGCAACACUGAUAUCACAGUCAAUCGGCGGCCGGAAAAGACCAGCGUGUUCUUCAAAACAGCCGUGGGAGUCAGGCAUCUCUGUGGCUUGGUGUUUUGUUUCCUGGGAGUGGGCACUGUGGACACAAAAUUACCCCCAAGAUACCCAGCCCAAAGGACAAGAGAGAAAAUUUGCCUGGAAUGCUCACAGGAUGUGGAGCAUGAAAGAAUGUGCUGGUAUCAACAAGACGGUCUGGAACCACCGCUGAUCCAUUUCUCCUGUGGUGUUGAGAGUUACGCCAAAGGCGAUGUCUCUGGCCGGUACAGCGUCUCUCAAAAGAAGAAAGAGGGCUUCUUGAUUCUGGAGUCAGGCAGCACCAAACAGACCUCCAUGUGCCAGCAGUUUAUCCACAGCACUGCACAGCCAUGUCCUCUCUGAGCAAAAAGAGCAGAGA